CAGCACUUCAAACAAGUGCUCUUUUAUUACUGCAGCAGUGGGGGAAACUGAGGAGCCACACUUCUUACAGUGAUGUCCGGCAGGGGAUGAUCCCACUUCUGACACUACUGUGGCGUAGACCAAGAAGGCACAAAAAACAUACCACUUUGAACGAGUGCUCUUUCAUUUAUCCAGCAGCAGGGGAAACCCACCGCUCAGUGCUGGCUGAUACGGCCGGGAUAUCAGUGACAACUGAAUCUAAUCUAAACUCGGCAAAAAAAAAUAGGAACUGUACUGUAACAGUGAGAGAGCAGCGUUUAUGAUGGCCACCAAACUGAUGAAGGUGUUUGAAGUUGAAUAUCAGGACCCAGGAGAGUCCAAACCUGCUAGAACAUCAUGAACCUUUCUGGAGAUAAAAGGACAGAAAUAGAGCCGUUUAGAAGAGGAGCUUCAUCUCAUAUCACUGCUAUCAUAACUGACCCUUUCCUCUCUGAAGUGGUG
ensembl:lncRNA